GAUGAACGCUAGCGGCAGGCCUAAUACAUGCAAGUCGGACGGGAUUGGGGAGCUUGCUCCCCAUGAGAGUGGCGCACGGGUGCGUAACACGUAUGCAACCUACCCUUGUCAGGGGAUAGCCUCUCGAAAGAGAGAUUAAGACCGCAUAACAUCACGAUGCAGCAUUGCAAUGUGAUCAAAUAUUUAUAGGACAAGGAUGGGCAUGCGGAACAUUAGCUAGUUGGUAAGGUAACGGCUUACCAAGGCUACGAUGUUUAGGGGAUCUGAGAGG
rnacentral:rRNA from 1 species